GCUCUCUUUAUCUAGUUUCAUCUUGGAUUUUAAUUUGAUAAUUUCAAGCACAUAUUUACUCUGAACAAUUAAUACUUAUGAAGGACAAUUCUGCAGGUAUAUAGGAAUGUCAUUUUAAAAAAUGAAUACCAAUCUUCAAAGCUAUAUGAGGCACUGUACACCAAUUGCGAGGACAUGAUGGAUCGGCUUUAGGUUCUCAGACUACCUUAGCUUCCAUGGCAAAGUUUAUUGCGGGAUUGCAGAAAUGCAAUCAUAGUUUUGAGCACGAGUGUGUCGGACCGUCGAAAACAAACUACGAGCAGCGCAUGAUGAAGAUGUUGGGAAAAUCUAAGUCUCAAUUUAUAAAGGAUUAUAACCAAAGGCUUUUUAAUUGGUUGGUGUCCUUCUCCCUCGUCAUGGUCGUGAUUGGCCACUUUAUUAUAAAGUUCAUUUUGAUUGAAAUGGGAGCAUGGUUACUUUUUAUAUUUCUUGAGACU